GACGAACGCUGGCGGCGUGCUUAACACAUGCAAGUCGAACGAAGUGGCGAACGGGUGAGUAAUACGUGGGUAACCUGCCCUCCUUUUUGGGAUAAGCCUCGGAAACGGGGUCUAAUACCAAAUAAAGGGGGAUGGGCUCGCGGCCUAUCAGCGUGUUGGUGGGGUGAUGGCCUACCAAGGCGGUGACGGGUAGCCGGCCUGAGAGGCUGACCGGGGUCAUUGGGACUGCGAUACGGCCCAGGCGACUACGGGAGGCGGCAGUGGGGGAUAUUGGAGAAUGGUCGAAAGACUGAUGCAGCGAGGCUGCGUGGGGGAUGAGGGUUUUAGGGUUGUAAACCUCUUUCGCUAUAGAACGGGUAGGUGGCCAAGAAGCGCCGGCUAACUACGUGCCAGCAGCCGCGGUAAUUC
rnacentral:rRNA from 1 species